rnacentral:rRNA from 1 species
GACGAACGCUGGCGGCGUGCCUAACACAUGCAAGUCGAACGGAACUGUUUUGAAAGAUUUCUUCGGAAUGAAUUUGAUUUAGUUUAGUGGCGGACGGGUGAGUAACGCGUGAGUAACCUGCCUUCAAGAGGGGGAUAACAUUCUGAAAAGAAUGCUAAUACCGCAUGACAUAUCGGAACCACAUGAUUUUGAUAUCAAAGAUUUUAUCGCUUGAAGAUGGACUCGCGUCCGAUUAGUUAGUUGGUGAGGUAACGGCUCACCAAGACCGCGAUCGGUAGCCGGACUGAGAGGUUGAACGGCCACAUUGGGACUGAGACACGGCCCAGACUCCUACGGGAGGCAGCAGUGGGGGAUAUUGCGCAAUGGGGGCAACCCUGACGCAGCAACGCCGCGUGAAGGAUGAAGGUUUUCGGAUUGUAAACUUCUUUUAUUAAGGACGAAACUUGACG